rnacentral:lncRNA from 1 species
GCACGGCAAAAUGGACGGACGGGAUUGCAUCAAAGCUCUGCCCGUACGCACGGUUGGAAAAGAAUCGUCCCUCGAGAAAUGAUUGAUUUAAUUAUUCGUACUAUUUUAUUUUUUUUUCCUUUCUUUUUUCUACGCUUGCAGCAGGAUAGGACUAAUACGUAGUUUCAUCUGGUCUUUUGAUUAAAAUGUUGAAACAAGUUGUGGUCUGAACAAGAGGA